UUGGCAUACAAUCACAACUUUUCUGCAUUUCUUGUACUGGAGGCUUUGUAAACUUCUUGAUCGUUUUGGCAUUCAAUUACAACUCAGAACAGCAGCAAUUAUUUUGUACCUGUUUUUCUUUUCUUUUUCUUUUGGGAGCGGGGGAGGCAUUGCUGGUGUCACAGCAUCCCCCAGUGAAGUUUUGGUUGAAAGAGAGACCGGCGAAUCCAUAUGGUUCAAAUGCCAUCCGAAAGUCUACCCUUCUCUGAAUGUGACAAGUGCAGGCAUAUAGAGAUGUCUUUUCUCAUAAGUGGUUCCUUGGAGGUGGAGCUUCCUCUGUCAACAUUACUACCUAUAUUCAUUCCUCAUAUCUUGUCAAUAGAAGUACCAAUAUUCCUUCCUCUGAUCAAACAUCGUGUCAACCUAAGUAUCGAUAUUUGUUCCUCAUAUCCAUAGUUUUCAAAUGUCCUAAAAUCAAAGGACAUACCUAUCCACAUCCAUUUCUUCAGAUCCCCAGUAGUGAAUCCUCAGGACCAGCAAUAGUCGUUCCUCAGACAAUUAGCCUGCAAUUAGUAUGUCCUUAAGAUCAAAGGACAUAUUCAAAACAUCAAUAUCAUCCUAUCCAGUCAUGUAGUCAAACAUGGGAGGUGCUCCUAGAAGAAUCCGACUGCAGAGCAGUAUCACAAGACAAGGUCAGUGAAGCUGCAGAGGCAUUAUAUUGCUGUUCAUCUUGCCCAGGAGAAACUGAAAGUCCUGGAAGCAGACAACAAUUUGAAGCUGGCAGCAAUUUAAAGGAUUCUUUCAUUUUCCAGGAUGCAUCUCCUUUCAAUCCGCAAAGCAUAUCUUUCAGACCAGAGUCAUAGUUCUAGCCUAAAAGACCACUAUGGGCAACGCAACUAUUGCAUAGUCAGUAAUCUGGAAGCAGAGUUUCAUAGGACCUGCUGCUACACGGUUGCUGGAGUCUCAAAGACAUUAGUAAUAAUCAGACAGCAGUAUUCUGUAUGGUUACACUCAUUUCCAAGAUGUAUGAAUACAAUUAAAGGUCAUAGAGAUGCCUUCAGACUAGGUCCGAACACCUCAUGCCUAAAACCAAAUAUUGUAUCACUCAUCAUAUCUCGUUUGUAUUACACUAUUACCCUAAUAUUCUUGUAGAUAUUGUGCAUUAUGAAGCUUUAAUGUUUAU